UCCACCUUUCGAGGUAACCGGCGCCCCCCAGGGGGUGCUCGCAGUGGCUUGUCCGGUUGUCGUGAGAUGUUCGGGUUAUGUCCCGCAACGGAGGGGCACCCCUCGUCCUUUAGUUUGCCAUCAUUUCAGGUUGGGGGGCCCUCUCAUAAGGGGAGAACUCGCCGGGUGGAUAAAGCCCGGCGAGAGCACACGGGUUGUUGGAUUAACCGGUUCCAAAGUCCCUCCAAUUGGUCCCCUUUACCGGGGGAUUUGCGGCUUACAG
rnacentral:rRNA from 1 species